CCUACGGGAGGCAGCAGUGAGGAAUAUUGGUCAAUGGACGGAAGUCUGAACCAGUCAUGCCGCGUGCAGGAAGACGGCUCUAUGAGUUGUAAACUGCUUUUGUACAAGGGUAAACCUGAAUACGUGUAUUCUGCUGAAAGUACCGUACGAAUAAGGAUCGGCUAACUCCGUGCCAGCAGCCGCGGUAAUACGGAGGAUCCAAGCGUUAUCCGGAUUUAUUGGGUUUAAAGGGUGCGUAGGCGGAUUGAUAAGUUAGAGGUGAAAUGUCCGAGCUUAACUCGGUAAGUGCCUCUAAUACUGUUGAUCUAGAGAGUAGGUGCGGUAGGCGGAAUGUAUGGUGUAGCGGUGAAAUGCUUAGAGAUCAUACAGAACACCGAUUGCGAAGGCAGCUUACCAAUCUAUAUCUGACGUUGAGGCACGAAAGCGUGGGGAGCAAACAGGAUUAGAUACCCCAGUAGUC
rnacentral:rRNA from 1 species